AUUCCAUGUUGUGGCCAUUUUCUCAACAUCUCCUUGUAUCUCUCCUAAGUGUCAUACAAGGAUUCUAAUUCCAAUUGCAGAAAAGAGGAUAUAUCACUCCUAAACUU